CUUAGGCAUCGGAGGCGUUCCCUUGAACCUCCAAGCCACUUUAUUCUUUGGUUGCAGGCGACCGUUCGGUGGUGGCGUUGAAACAUGUUCUCAACAGUUGAUGUCUUUUGUGAUAUACGAAUCCACGACCACAUGGUCUCAGGCAACUAGAGAUUAGGGAGAAACUUCACAAACAUGGAGGAAAGACUUACAAAAAUAGAUGAGGUAAUAAAAAAACUUACCACAGAGGUUGACUCACUGCGAAAGGAGAAUGAUGCUCUUAAGUCACGAAACGGAUCAUCGGGAAAGGACGCGGGCAGUAUUACUUCCCAAUUCGAAUUUAGCCCCCGCGUUGAACCUCCUCUGCCCACUGCCACCGUCUCCUCUGCCCACCACCACCGAAAAACGUGUGUUUUCCCUCCUGAUGGAAAGACUCGUUUUACCCAAACCCAAAUAGUCAGUGCAUUUCGAAUCCUAGGUUUAUCCCUUGUCUCCAGCUCCCUCGUCUCCAGCACCCGUGUCGCCUGCCCAGUGCCACCCCGCGACGACCAUCCUCCGUCUGCCCAGCGCCGCCACUCCCCAAGAGUUCAUUGAAUGAGGCAAACCAGGUUGCAUCCCGCGAAGAUCCCCCUUCUCUCUUGCCCAGCAACCCGCAUCUCCAUCCCUCUGCCCAGAGCCACCCCGCGACGCCGUCCAUCUGUUCAGCAUCACCUCGCGACUCUCAUCCGUCUGCCUAGCACCGCCCCUCCCCACGAACUGAUUUAAUGGACAACGACACAUCUACGGUGGAGCUUUGUUUUGUUGCCGCCCCUGCCCAGCUUUGUAGUCUGUGAAUGGCAGGUAUAGCUCGAGCUACAUCCCUUUCGCGAGGUCCAUGGUUUCAAAGGUCGUGGUUUCCUGUUUUGAUACUGAUUUUUAGAGCAAUGUACACCAUAUAUAAGAGACCAUGAUGUAAUCCAUUCAAGAACUUCUUAACAUGAUCACCCUAUGUGCGAUUUUUGCGAGUUGAUGCACACAGGGAGUCUAGUCCACUCUGAACGCAGCAGAGCUGCAGAAUUGAGAUUUGUGUAUGCUGGACUGAGAUUGUGAUCAACUUUACCUAAUUUCCUAUGUUAAUUGAAAUUGAGCUGUUAUUGACUUA